AUUGAACGCUGGCGGCAGGCCUAACACAUGCAAGUCGAGCGGAGCUGCGGAGGGGUGAGGAAUGCCUAGGAAUCGGCAUGGUAGUGGGGGAUAACGUCCGGAAACGGGCGCUAAUACCGAAUACUAUCAGAUAAGCCUAGGGCGGAUUAGCAAGUUGGUGGGGUAAAGGCAUACCAAGGCGACGAUCCGUAACUGGUCUGGGAGGAUGAUCAGUCACACUGGAACUGAGACACGGUCCAGACUCCUACGGGAGGCAGCAGUGGGGAAUAUUGGACAAUGGGCGAAAGCCUGAUGCAGCCAUGCCGCGUGUUUGAAGAAGGUCUUCGGAUUGUAAAGUACUUUAAGUUGGGAGGCGUUACCAGCAGAAUAAGCACCGGCUAACUUCGUGCCAGCAGCCGCGGUAAUUC
rnacentral:rRNA from 1 species